rnacentral:rRNA from 1 species
GAUGAACGCUAGCGGCAGGCCUAACACAUGCAAGUCGAGGGGUAGAACACUUCGGUGUUUGAGACCGGCGCACGGGUGCGUAACGCGUAUGCAAUCUACCUUGUACAGGGGAAUAGCCCAGAGAAAUUUGGAUUAAUGCCCCAUAGUAUAUAACCUUCGCAUGUUGGUUAUAUUAAAGUUCCAACGGUACAAGAUGAGCAUGCGUCCCAUUAGUUAGUUGGUAAGGUAACGGCUUACCAAGACGAUGAUGGGUAGGGGUCCUGAGAGGGAGAUCCCCCACACUGGUACUGAGACACGGACCAGACUCCUACGGGAGGCAGCAGUGAGGAAUAUUGGUCAAUGGUCGCAAGACUGAACCAGCCAUGCCGCGUGCAGGAAGACGGUCCUAUGGAUUGUAAACUGCUUUUAUACAGGAAGAAACCCUCCCACGUGUGGGAGCUUGACGGUACUGUAGGAAUAAGGAUCGGCUAACUCCGUGCCAGCCGCCGCAGUAAGAC